rnacentral:lncRNA from 1 species
AUGCUACUUGAAUACUUAACAGAGUUCAGGUUGAUGAUUCUGGGAUGGAGAAAUUGCCUCUAUAUACUCCUUUCCCAGACCCAGGAAUGUCAGGAGAAGGCUGACUCCUUCCAGUUCAGUGAUGCCCAAAGAGGAGACUCAACUGAUGUCUUCAGUUAUAACCUGAGGCCUACUAUCCACUUUACCAGGUACCAAUCUCAGGAAAGGCCAUUGACACUGGGUAGAAGAGUGAGUUCACUGAAACCAUGGAUGAUUACCCUUAUUGUCAUAGCUGUUGUGUUGAUUCUGGUAAUACUGAUUGGUCUCCUUGUUUAUUUUUUGGCAUAUGGCCAGAAGUUUUACUAUUACCAGACCUCCUUCCAGAUGCCCAGUAUUGAAUAUAAUCCUGAUUUUUCAGUAGAACACUCAAAACUUAGCACUGAUCUGAAACAAAAAGUCAGUAAUGAGUGUUUGUACAUGGUAGGCCCAUACAAAUACUCAUCAAGGAGAUGA